UACGAAGGUCCCAAGCGUUAUCCGGAUUUAUUGGGUUUAAAGGGUGCGUAGGCGGGCUAUUAAGUCAGUGGUGAAAGCCCGAAGCUUAACUUGGGAACUGCCAUUGAUACUGAUGGUCUUGAGUACAUUUGAGGUGGGCGGAAUGUGUCAUGUAGCGGUGAAAUGCUUAGAUAUGACACAGAACACCGAUUGCGAAGGCAGCUCACUAAACUGUAACUGACGCUGAGGCACGAAAGCGUGGGGAGCAAACAGG
rnacentral:rRNA from 1 species